UGAAGUCAGGGGAAACUCUGAUGGAGGACCGUACGGGUUAUUAUUGUGCAAAUCAUUUUUCUGAUGUAGGUAAAGGUGCGAAAGACUCAUCGAACCACCUAAUAGCUGGUUUCCUCCGAAGUUUCCCUCAGGAUAGCUGUAAUGCAUUUAGUUAAGGGGAGUAGAGAUAUGGGUAGAGGUGCAGGGAGCCUUCGGGUUCUCAACUUAUUUCCAAACUUCGAACCUCCUUGUUAGGCAUUUACCUAACUGGAAAUGCUUAAAUGAAUUAGCGUUACAAGUGGGCUCUGACCGGUAAGCGGUCAUGGCGAAAUGGGAUGAACCAUACGUCUGAAUAAGGUGCCGAAAUGUACUAUCACUGAUACCAUAAAGGGAGUCCAUGUAUUUAGACAGCAGGUCGGUGCCCCUAAAAGCAGGUAUCCGCUAAAGAGUGUGUUAAAACUCACCUGCCGAAUACUAGGGCCCCGAAAAUGAAUGGCGCAUAUAGUACUACCGAUCUCAGACAUCAGUUCUAUUGAACUGAGAGUAGGGGGAUGUGGACAUUUUUGUGAAGGUGCAAUGUGAGUUGGACUGGAAGAAUGUCUAUUACAGAUCCUAAUUGAAGUAGCGAUUAUCCAGGCUUGUAUCCUGGGGGCUGAUGAGGAGUAGGGUUUCUGGACAACUUAAACAGAUCCAGAGUUAGUCGAUCCUAAUCUCAAUAAUGGGAGAAAGGGAGUACAGUUGAUAUUCUGUAACUGACAACAGUUCGCGGCAACGCAUACUAUUUUUCUCCGCCAAUCUUAUACCGUUGGUAGGGAUCUCUUUCCUACAUGACAGUACUAAUACCCAGGGAAACUGGUCAUCAGGCGAACUGCGGCGUUCUGCUGGCAAAACAUAGCUUCGGUUAUGUCAAUGGCUAUUGGAUUGGUCCAUGAAACGAAAAAUAGUUUACUGUGUCACUCGUACCGAUAACCGCAUCAGG
rnacentral:ncRNA from 1 species